AGGGGACGUGGGGUCACAUCACAUGGACUGUACGAACGGAGAGGAGCCGGGCACCCGUGGGGGGCAGUGAGUGACUCUUCAGAGUUUCGUUCGGCGCUCUAAUCCAGGCAGUCUGGCCGACUUGGGUCACCCAGUGUGAUUCUUUACUUGGCAAUCAGAGCGACACCUGCCAGCUGCACAAUGUCUUGCCAUUUCAGUAAAGCUACCACUUUGGCAAAUGCUAUGCAUCAAAGAUUCCUCUCUUAUGAAGUCACACCAGUCUGUCCAAGUUUCUGUGAGUGGAACCAUGUGGAAGGAUUAUGACAUAAGCUUUGAUGCUGUUAGGACCUUCAGAUCUUUGAAGUUUAACAAUCUCUGCUACUGUAAGAGCUUUCUCCUAUAAUGAGUUAUAAAUAAUACUUUUAUACAGUAACUUUGUGUUCUUAAAGUAUGUGUUACGUGUAUAUGUACAGAUGUGUAGGACUACCACCUUUGUAUGAAAUAUAAGUAGUUGGCCACAUGAUAUGCCUAGUAACAGACAGUUUAAAGUAACUCUAAAGACCGUCAAGCUACAUCUAUACUUUUAUUAGGGACGGGAAUGUUG